CCUACGGGAGGCAGCAGUGAGGAAUAUUGGUCAAUGGGCGGAAGCCUGAACCAGCCAAGUAGCGUGCAGGAUGACGGCCCUACGGGUUGUAAAAUGCUGUUAUACGGGAAUAACGCGCCGUACGUGGAGGGCUUUGCAUGUACCGUAUGAAUAAGGACCGGCUAAUUCCGUGCCAGCAGCCGCGGUAAUACGGAAGGUCCGGGCGUUAUCCGGCUUUAUUGGGGUUAAAGGGAGCGUCGGCCGCAUGUCAAGCGUGCUGUGCAAUGUCCGGGCUCAACCCGGGCCUGGCAGCGCGGACUGGCGUGCUUUAGUCCGCGGCCCGCAGGCGGACUUCGUCGUGUAGCGGU
rnacentral:rRNA from 1 species